rnacentral:rRNA from 1 species
GGGGGUUGUUGGGGUGGGGGGUUUUUUCCGGGGGGGGGGGGGCUCGGAGGGAUCAUUACCGAGUUUACAACUCCCAAACCCAAUGUGAACGUUACCAAACUGUUGCCUCGGCGGGAUCUCUGCCCCGGGUGCGUCGCAGCCCCGGACCAAGGCGCCCGCCGGAGGACCAACCAAAACUCUUAUUGUAUACCCCCUCGCGGGUUUUUUACUAUCUGAGCCAUCUCGGCGCCCCUCGUGGGCGUUUCGAAAAUGAAUCAAAACUUUCAACAACGGAUCUCUUGGUUCUGGCAUCGAUGAAGAACGCAGCGAAAUGCGAUAAGUAAUGUGAAUUGCAGAAUUCAGUGAAUCAUCGAAUCUUUGAACGCACAUUGCGCCCGCCAGUAUUCUGGCGGGCAUGCCUGUCCGAGCGUCAUUUCAACCCUCGAACCCCUCCGGGGGGUCGGCGUUGGGGAUCGGCCCUUUACGGGGCCGGCCCCGAAAUACAGUGGCGGUCUCGCCGCAGCCUCUCCUGCGCAGUAGUUUGCACACUCGCAUCGGGAGCGCGGCGCGUCCACAGCCGUUAAACACCCCAAACUUCUGAAAUGUGACCUCGGAUCAGGUAGGAUCCCCAUUCCC